CCUUUUUCUCUGGUGAAGUAUGCCACGGGAGUUCUUCGACGCGGCGCGCUAGUGUUGUCAUUAGAGGAAAAUGUAACGUUUAGGGAGGGAAGGAUCAUUA
rnacentral:rRNA from 1 species